UUUUUUCCUCGGCAGAAGUCCUUUGUUUUAGAUCAGAACCCGACGGAACCAACGGUUCAGGUCCUUCCGCGGGAAAACUCUGAACGAGCGCUCGCGGUUCGUUGCCUACUCGUAGCUCAGCUUCAUUUCGGUUUCGGCUUGGGUUCUGAUCCGCUGAGAUCUUAGAGCAGAAAUUACCACAACGUCACGAUGAAGGCACUUAUUCUUGUUGGAGGAUUUGGAACACGUUUGAGGCCAUUGACCCUCAGUGUCCCCAAGCCACUUGUUGACUUUGCUAAUAAACCCAUGAUCCUGCAUCAGAUAGAAGCUCUUAAGGCUAUCGGAGUGAAGGAAGUAGUUCUGGCAAUCAAUUAUCAGCCAGAAGUAAUGUUGAAUUUCUUGAAAGAAUUUGAGGAGAAGCUUGGGAUCAAGAUCACUUGCUCUCAGGAGACCGAACCACUUGGAACAGCUGGCCCUCUAGCCCUUGCAAGGGAAAAACUAGUAGAUGAGUCAGGCGAGCCAUUUUUUGUCCUGAAUAGUGAUGUUAUCAGCGAGUACCCACUUAAAGAAAUGAUCGAAUUCCACAAGAGUCAUGGAGGAGAGGCUUCAAUCAUGGUGACAAAGGUUGAUGAGCCUUCCAAAUAUGGUGUGGUGGUCAUGGAAGAGUCCACCGGGAAAGUUGAGAAGUUUGUGGAGAAACCAAAACUAUUUGUCGGCAACAAAAUCAAUGCCGGAAUUUACCUGUUAAACCCCUCUGUUCUGGACAAAAUUGAACUGAGGCCAACAUCAAUUGAGAAAGAAGUGUUUCCUAAAAUUGCAGCAGAGCAACAGCUUUAUGCAAUGGUACUGCCAGGGUUCUGGAUGGACAUUGGACAACCAAAAGAUUAUAUUACAGGACUAAGGCUCUAUCUGAACUCCUUGAGGAAGAACUCGUCAUCAAAGUUGGCUGUAGGGUCUCACAUCGUAGGAAAUGUUCUGGUGGACGAGACUGCUAAGAUUGGUGAAGGAUGUCUGAUUGGGCCAGAUGUUGCCAUUGGUCCUGGUUGUGUUGUUGAGGCAGGAGUUAGGCUAUCUCGAUGCACUGUAAUGCGCGGAGUGCGCAUCAAGAAGCACGCUUGCAUAUCGAGCAGCAUCAUAGGUUGGCACUCUACAGUCGGGCAAUGGGCACGUGUAGAGAACAUGACAAUACUAGGAGAAGACGUUCAUGUGGGUGAUGAAAUUUACAGUAAUGGUGGAGUUGUGUUGCCGCACAAAGAAAUCAAAUCUAGCAUUUUGAAGCCUGAAAUAGUCAUGUAAAGGUGUGUGUGUAUUUGCACCUUAGUGGAAUCCUUUUUGAGAGCUGAAACGUAACGUUGUCGUGAGUGGACUUUACUAGUUUUAUUUUUUUUUUUCUUCCUCUUCAUGGGCCUUAAUGUCAGUGUCUGCUAGUUCAAGUUCUGUGAGUGAAGGGUCAAUCUCCCCUUUCAAGGGCGUUUCUUCUCGUGGUCAUACUAUGUAAUAUUUUUGUGUACAUACGGAAAUAAUUUAUCGAUUAAUGUUUCAAUUUCUUUUUCUGAAA